UGGGGAAUAUUGCACAAUGGGGGAAACCCUGAUGCAGCGACGCCGCGUGAGCGAAGAAGUAUUUCGGUAUGUAAAGCUCUAUCAGCAGGGAAGAUGAUGACGGUACCUGGCCAAGAAGCCCCGGCUAACUACGUGCCAGCAGCCGCGGUAAUACGUAGGGGGCAAGCGUUAUCCGGAUUUACUGGGUGUAAAGGGAGCGUAGACGGCAAGGCAAGUCUGAUGUGAAAACCCGGGGCUUAACCGCGGGACUGCAUUGGAAACUGUCUUAGCUGGAGUGCCGGAGGGGUAAGCGGAAUUCCUAGUGUAGCGGUGAAAUGCGUAGAUAUUAGGAAGAACACCAGUGGCGAAGGCGGCUUACUGGACGGUAACUGACGUUGAGGCUCGAAAGCGU
rnacentral:rRNA from 1 species